AAAAUCUUAGCUUAAAUAAAGUAUCCGGGUUGCAUUCGGAUGAUAUAGAUUAGAGUUCUAUAGGUUUUA
rnacentral:tRNA from 1 species